UACGAAGGGGGCUAGCGUUGUUCGGAUUUACUGGGCGUAAAGCGCACGUAGGCGGAUCGUUAAGUCAGGGGUGAAAUCCUGGAGCUCAACUCCAGAACUGCCUUUGAUACUGGCGAUCUUGAGUCCGGAAGAGGUGAGUGGAAUUCCGAGUGUAGAGGUGAAAUUCGUAGAUAUUCGGAAGAACACCAGUGGCGAAGGCGACUCACUGGACACGUAUUGACGCUGAGGUGCGAAAGCGUGGGGAGCAAACAGG
rnacentral:rRNA from 1 species